ensembl:lncRNA
CAUAGCAUAGAGAAUUCCAAGACGAAGUUUGCCAGCAAUAAUCAAAUAAAGCUAUUGCUAGGGGUGCGGAAGGUGGUCAUAGCACUGACAUAGAAUCGUGUUAAACAUGAGGCAGUCAUUCUGACAAAGUUCAAGUAAGUAGUUUCAAUGGUUCCAAUGUUCUGGUUCCUGGGAAUUUCCCUCUUGACAGGUUUGCACACAAGUGACAGCAAUACCGAAACUACAUCGUAUGCAAGUCAGUUUAGACCAACAUCUCUAGAACAGACGGCAAGUGAAGUUCAAGAGGAAUAGGCCCUGAAGUUACCUCUUCUUUUAUCUAGUCCAACACGACAGCCGCUAGCCAUUGAACACUUGAGACAGGGCUAGUCUGAAUUGAGAUGUGCUGCAACUUUAAGAUGUAUACUAGAUUUCAGACUUAGUAGCAAAAAUAUGUAGGCACGUAAGUUGUUACACUUCGAAAUAUUUUGUCUAUUGGGUUAGUAUAUUUUUUUAAUGAGGCCACUAUAACACCUGAAGUUACAUAUGCAGCUUAUACUUGUUUCACAUGUGCCUCUUGGACAGCAGCAUCCUAGAGCCUCCUGUAAGUUCCCUAUAAAGAUAGUGUGCAGAGAACCGUGAUCUAGAAGUUUCCCACAAAUGCUACUUCAGGUAGAAGUUGAGGGUUCUUAGGGAUUAGAAAACUUGAUUUCAAAGAACUAGACAAGAUCAUCGACUUGUUUAGUUUAUACCACAGCCCAUCUCCCCUGGCAGUUCCUAAGACCCAAAGAUGAAAUGGUAUAUUAAAUAUCUUUAGACAACUAUCGCUUGUCGUUUAGUUGACCAUGCCUGAUCUAGCCUCUGAAAAUUCACUCAACUGCUUCCAAAACCUCACCAGCACAGAGCAAAACCAACCUGGGCUUUUCCAAGCUUCCUCCUCAUUUCAGAGCUUAGCCUUGCUUCCACUGGGCCAUCACAUUAGGGAAAGACAGACCACAUUUUGUGGUCACCUACAGGGCUUUCCUGCUACUGAAAGGAAGCUUCAUUCCCCUCACUUCACACUUCCUACUAGGUUCUUAUCAAGCCCCUCUCUAUCACCUACUCUGAAUAAGACUGUGCCGGGGUUAGACACACAAGGUCAUUUUGAUGAAAAGUCUAGGGCAAAGUCGAAAUCCACUCCAGCCUUGUUUCCUAAGUUACUUCAAAGAAAAAAAGCCCAACUUGCAAGUCAGCUCUGAUUUCCAGCCAGCAUGCCCUCACCCCUUCCUGUGGAGAGUUUCGCGUUGCCCUUAUGCCACAGCUGGGUGUUUGUGUUCCUUCUCAAGUUACGCUUUAGGCUCCUGGAGGGCAGGACCCUCACUUCCUUCAGCCACCGGUCUCACGACUAUUGCUGUAGUUUGAGAGGCAGGAGAAAGGUGAACUGUUGGACCUGGAUAACCUCUGGCCACCACAGCUCUCACCCACAGGGUUCUAAAGGAUUGGUUCCCUGGAGGAAAAAAUGCCAGCCAUCCGAGUUCAACAGAAUCAGAUGCCUGAAAGAGCUGUUUGUAAGCAAAUUGCUUUGCAGAUCAAAGGAUUCAGGACCACAGUCAAGGCCAUGCUCCCUGCAACUCCACCUCUAUGCCUCUUAAGACAUCAGACUCGGCAGUACUGAAACAAGCCGUAGACCCUGUGUGUGUUCACUUCUACUCAAGCUCAAACCUGCAACAUAAGAAACAAGAUUAGGCC